CAAAAUAUUCUUAGACUACGAAAGCCGUCGGUAGCUUAACGUAAUUUUUAACAAAACGGUUGCUAACUCGACUUUUUUUGAGAAAAAAAAUAUGUUAAAUGAGUUAAUACUUUGACACGGAAAAAAUGAAUAAUACUUGCAUCUCAAUGUUGCAAUUCAAUGAAGAAUGUCAAUGUUAGAGGAAAAGAAUUUAAAAAAAAGACUUGGCAUUUUGCGAAUUUUUCAUCAUAAAAUGUACGAAAAAGAAAAUGAUGGGAGCACCCUGUUUUUUAAAUGCUAUCGAUACUAUUGUAUGAGAAACAAAAGUGUCUGCUUUAUUUUUAUUGUUUCUUUAGUUGUAAUAGCAAUUGGAAUUUUGCUAAUAGCCUACGCGUGCAUGAUGCCAUCAAUGUAUACCACGUUUGAGAACAACGCUGAAAAAAACGAUACCUUCUUUUAUAAAGACCUUUUACU
rnacentral:lncRNA from 1 species